rnacentral:pre_miRNA from 1 species
UAACCCUGACAAGUGGUAAGAUAAGCAAGGGCUAGGGCUUACGACCUAAGGUCUGAGGAUGGAGCCAGGUCAGGGCAU